GACUUUUGAAUAACAAGUGUUAGUUAUCUUUAUGGAUUAAUGUUUUUCUCUUGAGCCUUCCAACCUAAGAAGACUUCCCUGCUUUGCCUUAAGAAGACAAGUUGCUUUUCAGCUUUUAAGCAAGAGAAAUCUAAAAACAACAAACAGGAAAAAUAUAUGCUAACUUACCUUCCCCUAAAGGGUAACAUGAUUGUCUAUCCUUGUCCCCCAUGCCAUUUGAGCUAUAUCCUCCAAAACAGACAAUGUUGCAAUAGGUAUACAAUAUGAGCUUCCUCCAAAAAACUAUAAAACAUUGUCCCACAUUUAUGUAUUCAUACAUACACACAUAAUAUUAGGUAUAAACAUAGAUACACACAAAUAAUAUUAGGUAUAAACAUAGAUACACAAAUAAUAUUAGAUAUAAACAUAGAUACACACAAAUAAUAUUAGGUAUAAACAUAGAUACACACAAAAAGUCAACAAAAGAAAUGAGAAGAGGGGAGGAACAUAUCACAUUGAAGCAUUCAUCAUCAGUAGCACUUACUAAGCACUCCAACUCUGCCUUGUCUGCAGUCACAUUUCUACAAUUUCCAUCUUCAUGGAUACACCUUGAGAGGUUUACUUGUUGCUUGUAAACUGACUGUUUUAGCAUGUGGUACACACCUGUUGAAAAUGAAUCAGGGCAAAAAUUGUGCCAAUUUUGGGGGGGAUUGUGAGAGACUAAGGAGUGUUAGUUAUUUUUAUGGAUUAAUGUUUAAAUGAGAGACAGAGUAGUUAGAGGAGGGAGGGAGAUGUGUGAGAGACUCUGUUAGGAAGGAUACAUCCUCUCCUGAAAUCUCUCCUACAUCCCUCUUCUUCUCAUUAUUCCACCACGUCCUAAAAUCUCAACCCAUCCCCUCUCUCUCUCAUCUCCCCUUUAUCCACUCUUCAUUUAACUUUCCUAUAUGCCUCUAUGAAGCUCCCCUUUAAUUUUUGCUAUAUGCACAUACACCCGCCAUAAUCAGUAUAUAGGGUGAGAUAAUCAAUUAAUCAUCUAUAUGAUCAAGAAACUCACCAAGUAAAUGGGCCG
rnacentral:lncRNA from 1 species